UGGGGAAUAUUGCACAAUGGGCGCAAGCCUGAUGCAGCCAUGCCGCGUGUAUGAAGAAGGCCUUCGGGUUGUAAAGUACUUUCAGCGGGGAGGAAGGGAGUAAAGUUAAUACCUUUGCUCAUUGACGUUACCCGCAGAAGAAGCACCGGCUAACUCCGUGCCAGCAGCCGCGGUAAUACGGAGGGUGCAAGCGUUAAUCGGAAUUACUGGGCGUAAAGCGCACGCAGGCGGUUUGUUAAGUCAGAUGUGAAAUCCCCGGGCUCAACCCGGGAACUGCAUCUGAUACUGGCAAGCUUGAGUCUCGUAGAGGGGGGUAGAAUUCCAGGUGUAGCGGUGAAAUGCGUAGAGAUCUGGAGGAAUACCGGUGGCGAAGGCGGCCCCCUGGACGAAGACUGACGCUCAGGUGCGAAAGCGUGGGGAGCAAACAGG
rnacentral:rRNA from 1 species